rnacentral:rRNA from 1 species
GCGAAAGCGAGUCUGAAUAGGGCGACAGUUAGUGGGGGUAGACGCGAAACUUUGUGAUCUACCCAUGACCAGGAUGAAGUGUCGGUAACACGACAUGGAGGUCCGAACCAGUUUGCGUUGAAAAGCAUUUGGAUGAGUUGUGGGUAGGGGUGAAAGGCUAAUCAAACUAAGAGAUAGCUCGUACUCCUCGAAAUGUUUUUAGGAACAGCCUCGGAGUUAAGUAAUGCAUAGGUAGAGCUACUAAUUGGGUAAGGGGGUGUCAAAGCCUACCGAACUCAGAUAAACUCCGAAUGAUGCAUUAUAUAUCCGGGAGUGAGGCCUUGGGUGCUAAGGUCCUAGGCCAAGAGGGAAAAAACCCAGACCAUCAGCUAAGGUCCCCAAAUCUGUAUUAAGUUGAGCUAACAAGGUUCUAUUGCAUAGACAGCUAGGAUGUUUGCUUGGAAGCAGCAAUUCAUUUAAAGAGUGCGUAACAGCUCACUAGUCGAGCGAUCGUGCGUGGAUAAUAAUCGGGCAUUAAGUAUAUUGCCGAAGCUAUGACAUCGAAAGAUGGGUAGGGGAGCAUUCUAUGUGCGUUGAAUGUGUUGGGUGACCAACGCUGGAGCGCAUAGAAAAGCAAAUGUAGGAAUAAGUAACGAUAAAGCAGGCGAGAAACCUGCUCACCAAUAGACUAAGGUUUCCUAGGCGACGCUAAUCGUCCUAGGGUUAGUCGGGACCUAACGCGAACCCGAGAGGGGUAGUGGAUGGAUAAUGGGUUAAUAUUCCCAUACUUGUUAUAACUGCGAUGGGGUGACGGAGUGAUGAACGAACCGCGUACAGACGGAAUUGUACGUUAAAGGGUGUAGAUAUUGGGACUGUAGGCAAAUCCGCAGACCUAGUCGAACCUGAUAGUACCACAAAGCUUCGGCUGCGUGGAUAGUGUUCUUAAGCGCUUCCAAGAAAAACCUCUAAGCUUCAGGUUAUAACAACUCGUACCGCAAACCAACACAGGUAGUCAAGUAGAGAAUACUAAGGUGCUCGAGUGAUUCAUGGCUAAGGAACUAGGCAAAAUGGUCUCGUAACUUCGGGAGAAGAGACGCCAACUUCGGUUGGCCGCAGUGAAUAGGCCCAGGCGACUGUUUAUCAAAAACACAGGGC